ACCAUCCUUGUCUUGGGGUGAGCGAUCGGCCAAUGAGCGAGUAGCGAGGGCGGUCCUGCUGACGCCACAAGCAACACUAACGCAUCACUGGUGUGCAAACACUGGCAACGGUGCAAUUUUUGGAACC